rnacentral:rRNA from 1 species
CCCUUAGAUGUUCUGGGCCGCACGCGCGCUACACUGAUUCAUGCAACAAGUUUUGUCCUUGGCUGAUAGGCCUGGGUAAUCUUUGAACGUGAAUCGUGAUGGGGAUAGAUGAUUGCAAUUAUUCCCCAUGAACGAGGAAUUCCCAGUAAGCACAAGUCAUAAGCUUGUGCUGAUUACGUCCCUGCCCUUUGUACACACCGCCCGUCGCUACUACCGAUUGAAUGGUUUGGUGAGGCCUUUGGAUUGAAGCUAAUAGGCCGCUCUGCGGUUUAUAUGUUUCAAAAAGAUCGUCAAACUUGACCAUUUAGAGGAAGUAAAANUCGUAACA